rnacentral:lncRNA from 1 species
UUAUUGUGGGUUGAAAACCCUAUAUGCUCACCAGGCUCCCAAGCCUGACCCACUCAGUUUUCUUUUCAUUACAGGUAAUGACACAAGAGUAUAAGUCGGCGGACUUGACGAGAGAUUUUGGAUUAUAGAUCAGUAGUUGAAUAACUAUUGUAAGGUCUAUUUUAUGUUGUUUAUGCUUUUGGUCUGUAACGAACAUGACAUCCCGAGGUUUUAUUAUUUAAUAAAAAUACAUUCUUUUCGAGAAAUGUUUUGAUAAAAUGGUUAUCAUAUUUUAUUUUGGGAACAAAUUCCGCAACCGUUUUCUUUAAACGAUCACUCUGAUUUUGAAAACAAAGCAUAAACAAAUCGGUCUUUUCUGGCCGUGAAAUUGGGGAUGUCACAGUUGGUAUCAGAGCAUUAGUUUAAGCGAACUAGGAAUUUGUAGGAUUUCUAGACUUAAACUUAGAAUGCUAAGCAAUGAUUGCGAGUUGAGUGUGUCCAUUAUAUUUUAGGUAGUACACCUAAAUUGACACAGGCACUAUUUUAUUUUAGGAAAAUUGCCUAAAAUGCUUUUGCGUGCUAAAUGUUUUGUGUGAUAGCUAUAUUGAUGCUAUUAUUUGUUCGGAUCUAUGGUCUGUUGCCGACCGGAUCUGGAAACCUUAUGUGUAUAGGAUUCUAAGCGUACGUCUACGAUAUUAGAACUAGCAUAUAAACGUUUCGGAGUGAUAAGGAUGAUUUGAAUAUCUAUCGUGAUUAAGGAUCUAAUUUCACCAUAUUCGGUGUAUAGAUCAAAAAUGGUGAGAACGAGGAGUGGAGUUGGAAAUGCUGAUGAGAACAGGAAUCAAGUACCAGUAAUUGAACAAAUACCUGUUGUGGCAGCAGCGCCUGAACCAAUGACAAUGGCCGGAGUUCAAGUGAUGAUCCAGGCAAUGUUGAAUAAUCAGAUGGAAGAAACUAGACGUCUGAUCAGACAAAAUCGCGAGGAAUUGUCAAUUCGAGUAGAAGAGCCCGAAGUAAAUGGAGGGCAUUCUGAAGGAGGAAACUAUAGUGGGACCGUUGGUCAAGCCAACCCACCAAUAGUUCGCCAAAACAACCAGGAUAGAGGAAAUGAUGGACGUGGAUGCAAGUACAAGGAUUUCAUGGCAUCCAAACCACCAUGUCUUUCUGGGAGCCCGACACCGGUGCAAGUCAUGGACUGGAUCUCCGAAAUGGAGACAAUGUUUGAAAGUUGCGAGUGUAGCAACAGACAGAAGACCGCUCUUGCAAUCCCUCUGUUAAAAUCUGGAGUAUUGAGCUGGUGGAAGUUACUGGCUGGUUCAAUGCCCAAGGGGGAAGCUAGCAAGAUGUCUUGGGAAGAGUUCGUGGAGCAAAUGAAAAUGCAAUACUGCUCUGAGCAGGAUCUUCUGGAAAUCAACAAUGAGUUCCAGAAUCUGAAGAAAGGAAAAUUGAGCGUUACUGAAUACGCUACGAGCUUUACGGAGAAGAUGAAGCUUAUUCCAUACCUAAUUCCGACUGAACUUUCCAAGGUCAACAAGUUUGCCAAUGGAUUACCAGCGGACUUUGGUCCGAUAGUCAAACAAGCAACCACUCUGAAAGCCGCCAUCUGGGCAGCCAAAAAUGUUGAGACCCAAAUAAAAGAAAAGGGUCUGGAAAGGGCUGAAGUUGGAGAGAAAAGGAAGCGUGAAGGAUCUUCAAUAAUCGAUAAAGAAAGUAAAUUCUCGAAAACUGGAGGAAGAGAUGAGGCUAAGUGGUGUGAGAAGUGUAAGAAGAAACACUUCGGGAAAUGUAGCGAGGAGAUGACUUGCUACAAAUGUGGGAAGACAGGGCACUAUGCCAACAAGUGCGCACCUAACAAGAAGAUGUGCUAUAGGUGUAAUGAAGAAGGUCAUAUUUCUAAAGACUGCCCACAGAAAAACACACCUCCACAGCCAAGGGCAUUCAACAUGUUCCUCAACGAAGCAGAAAGGGAUGGGAGGGUUAAAGGAUGAAGACUUCAUAUUAAUAUAUAAAGUCGGUAAAGUCUGUAUCAGGAAGCAUAGCCUGUUAGAGGCAUAGUAUAGGGUGAACUUGAACUUUUGUGUAAUAGUUUCAAGAAUUAAUAUAAAUCCUAGUUUUGUUAUCUGAUGUGUUGAAUGAUUAUAUGAUUUAUGUAUGGUGACUUGGUUAACUGCGAGACAAUACUUGGGACGAGUAUGAGUAGGUGUGAAUGGUAGUAGAGAUCUAUACUACCGGAAGCACAGGACUCACGCUUGGAUCAGGGGAAGUCACAAGGUUAUCAAGAAGCUAGUAAUUGAUUCCGUUUUAUUCAAGUAUGUCAUUACCAUUGUUUCGGUAAUGUCUAGUAAGAUAGUUGUUAUUCCGACCCUAGGGGUCAUAUCAAUUGAGUCCGACUAUGAUGAGAGGUCAUCGGGACACGACCCAUCAGGGUUAUUACUUAGAAUGGAGAGAUAACUUAUGGAGUCAGUAUGCGAAUCCUAUUUCGUUGAUGAUUCCGGGACGUAAUCAUCCUAAGGGGGAGAUAAUUGUAACGCCCGUAGAUCAGGGCUAGUCAAUUUAGAGACAAUAAGAGUCAAAAAUGACUUUUUGAUAGAAGAUUAUUUAGGAUGAAUAAUCCUAACUAAGUUGUAGUAUAUGUUACAAGGUUUCCGUACAUAUAAAGAACGCCAAAAUCCGAGUUAUAACGAAGAAGUUAUGACCUGUCGAAGUUUCGCGACAGAACCGGCACGACACAGCGCGACGUAAAAAGUGAAUUUACGUUAGAGCGAUAUUUAGCCUUAGCAAUCUAAACGAGAAUCGAAGAUCUCGUUGUUGGUAUCGAAGCGAUAAAAAGUUAGGCGAGAACGGACGUCAAACGAAGAAGUUAUGAAUUUAUAACGAAGUUUUCUGUCGCGGCCUAUUAAAAAUAAAUAAUAAAAAUAAAAGUCAAAAUUAGCCGACGGAGUCUAAACGAAAGUUGUAGAGCGUAGUCUCACCUUCGCGUGGAUAUAAAGAACGUCGAAAACGGAGUUCGUAUGAAGAAGAUAUGAAUUUCCGAAGUUUAUUAAUCAAUUUGUAUUUAAAUUUAAAAGGAAAUUCGGAAGCAUUAUCCGAAGGAGUCACCGGUCUGAUCCGAGGUACGCGCCGCGUACUCGAGUACGCCCCGCGUACUCCGAAGUGUCGACAUUCGCAGCAAGUGGCUUCGGAUGACGCACGCAGUGACGUUUUUCGGACCAGUACGCCCCGCGUACUGGCGUACGCCCCGCGUACUCCGAGGCUCCAGCCUCCUAUAAAUAGGAUGCGAGGGCAGCCGACCCAAUUGCCAAUUUCUUCUCUUCUCUCUCCCGUUUUGCAUCGUUUUGCGUGCCAGAAAUACCCCGAAGCCCCGGUAUUAUACCCUAGCCCCGAGGCAAGUCCCGAGAUCCCGAAGAUCCCGAAAAGUGCGGUUCCCGAGUCGAAGCUCUGCCCGCGAGAAGUUUGAUUUUCGAGGAGAUCUUCCAGAUCUGCUGAGGAAUACUACUUCUAUAAGCCGUAGUGCUGUCGGAUCGUCUUCUGAUCAAGUGAGUGUGUAGUUAUUUCUUCUAAUACAAUAAUACGAAGUAUUUUAUAUAAAAAUACGUGCUAUGUGUAUAUAUUUGGUUGUGUUAUGUGUGAAUGAGUAUUCACUCUCUUCUAUCUUAUAGAUCUGCUUAUUUCUUUAUGAGAUAUGUGUUAUGUGUGUGUGUCUCAUCUGUUAUGUGACAUAUGUGUUGAUUAAAGCAUGCUAUACAGGUUUUCUUUAAACUACGUAUACAAAUGUAUAUUUUUAUCUACUAAUAUUGUUGGGUAGAACAUGGGUAGAUGGGUUAGUUGGUGACUAUGGAGUUAGCGCCUGCUGUUAGAUAAACCUUGGUGACUAUGGAGUUAGCGCCUGCUGUUAGAUAAACCUUGGUGACUAUGGAGUUAGCGCCUAUUAUUAGGUAAACCUUGGUGACUAUGGAGUUAGCGCCUUUUGUAUAAACCUUGGUGACUAUGGAGUUAGCGCCUAUUGCAUAAACCUUGGCGACGAUGUGACUUCGUGCCUAUUUGAUGAACCUUGGCGACUAUGGAGUUAGCGCUUGUUAAGUAAACCUUGGCGACUAUGGAGUUAGCGCUUGUUAAGUGAACCUUGGUGACUAUGGAGUUAGCGCCGCUUGAGUAAACCCCGACGACUAUGGAGUUAGCGUCUUAUAACUAUGGAUUUAGUACUCGAUAGAUAAACUUUGGCAGCAAUGGAUUUCGUGCCGAUUCCUUAGGAAUAAGUGAAUGAAGGAUAGUUGGUUCUUAGGGGGAAACCUUAAGAAGAUGAUGGAGAUGGGUAUUUGAGUUGAUUGUUUGAUAAUUGAAUAUAACAAAUGUAUUAUUGUGGGUUGAAAACCCUAUAUGCUCACCAGGCUCCCAAGCCUGACCCACUCAGUUUUCUUUUCAUUACAGGUAAUGACACAAGAGUAUAAGUCGGCAGACUUGACGAGAGAUUUUGGAUUAUAGAUCAGUAGUUGAAUAACUAUUGUAAAGUCUAUUUUAUGUUGUUUAUGCUUUUGGUCUGUAACGAACAUGACAUCCCGAGGUUUUAUUAUUUAAUGAAAAUACAUUCUUUUCGAGAAAUGUUUUGAUAAAAUGGUUAUCAUAUUUUAUUUUGGGAACAAAUUCCGCAACCGUUUUCUUUAAACGAUCACUCUGAUUUUGAAAACAAAGCAUAAACAAAUCGGUCUUUUCUGGCCGUGAAAUUGGGGAUGUCAC